UGCCAAUGGCACUGCCCGGUAGCUAAAUGCGGAAGAGAUAAGUGCUGAAAGCAUCUAAGCACGAAACUUGCCCCGAGAUGAGUUCUCCCUGAGACUAUAAGUCUCCUGAAGGAACGUUAAAGACGAUGACGUUGAUAGGCCGGGUGUGUAAGCGCAGCGAUGCGUUGAGCUAACCGGUACUAAUGAACCGUGAGGCUUAACCUUACAACGCCGAAG
rnacentral:rRNA from 2 species